CUGAUGUGGGAGACCCCCCACGUGGGGACUGCCAGUAUACCGCUUCCCUUCGGGCUGGCCAGUCCUCAAGUAGAGACACUGAGGUAGGGCAAGCGCAUCUACGGGGAAGAGCGCUGCCUCGGGCGUUAAUGGGAGAGAGAGCUGAGGCAGAAGGGGGAUCGGAACUCCCGCUCCAGAAGCGUGAAGGUGGGGGUGUAUGAGAGCACCCACCCAGAACCUUGCAGGAAAAAGUUGCUUUGCACAUGGGUGACCCCGCAGGCCACAUCAUCCACACAUCCAUACGCCGCCCCGUAGGUAAGGGGUCCGGGCCUCCAGGACAGGAGACUCAGCUCUGGGAGGACGGCCACCAUCUCUGGCUCAGUCACAUUUGGUCCCCAGAUUCUGGCAACCCUGGGUAAAAGCUCAGUCACCUGACCUAGUGACGACCACAAGCAGGACCACCCACCAGGAGACAGAAGAGAGAAAACUGUAUAUGAAGACAAGGAUUUCUCCAGAAGAGACCAGGAGCAAGUAUAAGGACUGGAGGAAUAAAAUGGGCUACGGAACACAGGCAGAUGAAGCAAAUCACCCACCCCUCAAUGCCUGCUCAGCAAGCAUCCACGCCUAGGAAAGGGCCCCAAAGUAUUCCUCUGAAGGUCUGGGAAAGGUAUGGUAAUUACAGGCACACAUUAUACAGGAUAGCUCAAUGUCAGCAGAACUCACAUAAACAGGAUGAACAUGGUCUACAAGAGUCUGACCUAAGCUGUGCUCCCAGGACAGAGCAGGGGCAAUUACGGGUGGAGCUCCUGCCUAGAAGGCCAGUGGGUAGGGGCCUCCGAUCCUGGGAUAUGAUGCCUCAAUGUGGGCUCUGAUCAAUUUAAAGAUUUCUUAUCAUGGGUGAAAACCCUACUAAAUUUUUUUUUUUUUUGAGACAGAGUCGCUGUUGCCCAGGCUGGAGUGCAGUGGCGUGAUCUCGGCUCACUGCAACCUCCUCCUGCCAGGUUCUAGCAAUUCUCCUGCCUCAGCUUCCUGACUAGCUGGGAUUACAGGCACACGCUGCCACGUCCAGUUAAUAUUUUGUAUUUUAGUAGAGACGGGGUUUCACCGUGUUGCCCAGGCUGGUCUCAAACUUCUGGGCUCAGGCAAUCCACCCUCCUCGGCCUCCCAAAGUGCUGGGAUUACAGGUGUGAGCUCAUGCCUGUAAUCUGCCCCUUCAUGCUAAGGUAAAGCUGCUCCUGGCUCCCAGGCUCUAUGAGUGCUCUGAUCUCAUCUCUGGAACCGGCCUGUAAGCCUGGCAAACAUCAAGACCUGACCCCACUGCUUACCUCAAUGGGAGCCGUAAUGCCUUGACACUUUCGUCCCAAGCCAGAGCCUUCCCGCCAGCCCAUGGCCUGCAGCAUCUUGUUGCCAAUGUUACUGUGGUCAAUGCCAUCUUUGGUGGGUUGCUCGUAAUUCCUGCCAGUGGCAAACACACAGUUACUUAAAACAGCCAGGGCCCCAGCUUACGAACUGGAAAAUGUGCACAUCACAUACACAGUGCCGGCAUCAAACUGCUUCUUGCGCUUGGGCUCUGGAGGUUCUGGAAUGCCGUACUUCUCCCGUCUUUCUGCAGCUCGGUCUCGGUAUUUCAU
rnacentral:lncRNA from 1 species